CCCUUAUCCUGCGCUGGAAUUCUACGGAUAUGACUUCAUGUCGUCGUCAGACAGACAGAAAUUGGUCGCGUGGCAUGAGAGUAAGAGUUCAGAAAUAUUUAAUUUUCAAGAGGAGAUGUUAAAGUACUGUCGCUCGGACGUCGACAUUUUAAGAAGGGGUUGUAUGGCGUUCCGUGAUACUGUACUUCAAGUGACGACAAUAGAAACUUCACAUGUUCAACCCGAUGGGUCCAUUACAACCACGACCAUUGAUGGCGUAGAUCCAUUUGAUUAUGUAACGAUUGCAAGUGUUUGUAUGGGGGUCAAAGGUGUGUGCUAUGCUGGAAAAUGGAUAGCUCUCAGUGAUCUAGAAAAAGAAGAAAAUACGGAAAUAGGAAAACAGCAGUUGACAAGUCCGAUUGCCGUCGUACCUUCCCAGGGAUAUGCCAGCAAAGACAAUUAUAGUAAAAUCUCCAUUCAGUGGUUAGAAUGGCUUAUGCAGAGAAGUCGUCAACGAGGAAAACCCGUUCAUAUUUGUCAUGCUCUCAACGGAGGAGAAUAUCACGUUGUGUAUACCACGGAUGUCAUGAUUGCUUUCAACAUGACAGAUCUGAUGUCAGACACUCUGCCACGAACCAAACGUUAG
rnacentral:sRNA from 1 species